GAUGAACGCUAGCGGCAGGCUUAACACAUGCAAGUCGAGGGGUAUGCUGAUUUAUCGGCAGAGACCGGCGCACGGGUGCGUAACGCGUAUGCAAUCUACCUUUCACAGAGGGAUAGCCCAGAGAAAUUUGGAUUAAUACCUCAUAGUAUAGCAGUUUCGCAUGAAACCACUAUUAAAGUUCCAACGGUGAAAGAUGAGCAUGCGUCCCAUUAGCUAGAUGGUAAGGUAACGGCUUACCAUGGCUACGAUGGGUAGGGGUCCGUGAGAGGGAGAUCCCCACACUGGUACUGAGA
rnacentral:rRNA from 1 species